rnacentral:lncRNA from 1 species
GCCAUCCUCGCCCCUGUGGCGGAAAUGGGAGGCUGCCUGGAGGAGAGGAGGGAUUGGAUUUACACCCUCUUUUCCCUCCGAAGCGUCCUUGGUGGGGGCGAAGAAAGACCAUCCAACCCUGCCAAAGGCAAAAGGAUUAAAGAUAAAUGAAAGCAAGAUAAUGUAGAAGAACUACUUCGCUGCUGGAUUUUUAGAGAUGAGUGAUUUUUUUUUUUGUAGGGAGAAAUUAUGAAACACAUUGAAAUGGACAAAAAAUUACUGAAUGUCUUCAAUGAAAAAACGGUCAUAGUUUGGCACACCGUCCCGGGCACUCUGUUGCUAGAGGGGCUGUCUGCUUUUCUUUGUGGUGCUCUGCACAACUCUGCAGUUGCGGUUUUCCUGCCCUUGGGCCGUGCAAUUAUGUUGUCCAGGCCCGCUGCCAGUGGACAGUAGGAAGGAAGAUGUGUUGUCCACCCCACUGCCACUGGACCACUUCUAUACAUAGCUGGUCCUUCUGUCCAGCCAGCUGGCACUGGACUGUUUCCCCUCUGUCACCACCGGACUGUAAGCUCCUAAUACAAACCCAUGUCUCAUUUA